GGAACUCCGGUAAUGAGAUACUCUGUGAGAUAUCGUGCUGAAUGUGAGACUGAAGAGGAGCUCCAGCGUUCAGACUGAAAACAGGAUGUCCCUAACAGUGGCCAGGACUGAGGGGGUGACUGUAUUCAGCAUCACCUCCAAUCCAAAGAGCAAAUGUCCACUGAUCUUCCUGCUUCUACGCACCAUCUGCUGUAGCCCGAUUUGCUUAGUGUCUCGGAACCUGAAGCAGGAGCUGGGCUCUACUUACACAGUUCUGGGGAUGAUGCAGAUAGGGCUGGAGAUCACCAUGAUUGUGUUGGGCGUCCUUCAGUUUUAUGUCACGGUCAGCUGGUGUGUUCUGAGCAUGCAGGUUCUGUACAAGGAGAAGAAAGGAGUCAUGAUGGUAAAGAUGUCUUUUAAAGAGUGCUGAUAAUGUUAACAUGUUAACGCAUGUGCUUAAUCUGGAA
rnacentral:lncRNA from 1 species